rnacentral:lncRNA from 1 species
AGAAUGAUAAUUCUUAUCAAGAAUAGGUCAUUGUGUGCCAUAUGGGUUGGUUGUUCUCACAACCAAAGAGUGUGAAGAUACUGGUAUGGUAUGUAGGUGAAAUAUAGGAGUAUAUUUUUACUAAAUAUGACUCAGCUGCGGAGCACUCUACUGUCAAGAGCUGAUCAUAAAGGAUAUGAGUAUAAGUGUCCCUCCUACUUGAGAUCACUAUGAUGACUUACAAAUCACUCACUAUACUUUGGUGCUGGACUGUCUAUAUUUAUAAUACAGUGAUGAAAGAUUUCUGGACACAGUCAAGUACUUGUGACAUCUGUGUGUGAGUCAAGAUGGAAUUGAUCGCUUUAAAUUUUAGGAGAUAAUACUUCACUAUAUUUUAAUUCAGUAAAAUCUUGAUCGAAAUAAUUCAUGUGAUCAGUCACAAGAUUUAUAAGGUUAAAACACAAUAUAGAUGACUGAUUAAGGAUUUGACAGUUUAAUCUGAAGUCAUCCUAAGCACUGAGGGUCAA